UCGAGUCAGUAAUAAACUUCCCUUCCUGCGAGUUGCAUUGUCUUGGAAGCCUUCUCUCUUCCUGCUCGGGGAUUCGGACAUCGGGCAUAACACUAACAAGAUCCUGGAUGAUGCUGAUGAAGCUGGUACUGGACUGUGGACACUCCAUGAGUUCUCUUUCAGAUCAGUGUUCUGACUCUCUGGACGGCUGAGACCCAACUGAAAUAAAUUAAGUAUUAUAAGGACUCAUUGGAGGAACGGACCAACCCACCAGGAAUGGCCACAGGAUCAGUUGUCUUUUGGGUUCUUGGACUCACCUGCAUGGGAACUCUGAGAAGUUCUUUGUGUGGAAGUCUGAAUCCCUUCCUGGACACUUGAGGAGGAAGACUGAAGCUCUGUCCCCAGACAAGACGGCAGGAAGGGGUCAAGCUUUGGCUUUUUAUAGCCUCAGGACUCCAAGAGCAAAAACUGCGUCUCAAUCAUGCCCAGGCUGUACAAGCUCCAGGAUGCAGCAGAGGAGGGAAAGCCUAAGAGGCUAAAAUUCUCAGCACACAAGAUGAAGGAGCCACAAGAGGGUCUGUCUCUGGGAAGACCCCACAAGGUCCUGCUCAG